AUACGGAGGAUCCGAGCGUUAUCCGGAUUUAUUGGGUUUAAAGGGUGCGCAGGCGGCCAUUUAAGUCAGCGGUUAAAUCGUGGGGCUAAACCCAUUUCGCCGGUUGUAACGGGGUGCUUUGAUGCGGGCCAGGGUGGCGGGAUUUGGUGUGGAGCGGGGGAAUGCAUAGAUAUGACGAAGAACACCGAUUGCGUAGGCAGCUGACCAGACCGCAAAUGACGCUCAUGCACGAAAGUGCGGGGAUCGAACAGGAUUAGAUACCCUGGUAGUCCGCACAGUAAACGAUGAAUACUCGCUGUUUGCGAUAUACAGCAAGCGGCCAAGCGAAAGCGUUAAGUAUUCCACCUGGGGAGUACGCCGGCAACGGUGAAACUCAAAUGAAUUGACGGGG
rnacentral:rRNA from 1 species